rnacentral:lncRNA from 1 species
GUUAUAGAAGUUUUCCUCCAUACCGAGUUCAUAACCACUUUUGAAGUCUCCAGUUGUUCCUCCACUUAGCUUGUGCAGUUCCAACAUUGUUUCAUGCUCUAUCACAUCCUUCUGCAAUUUAAAAAAACAAAUAUGAUUAACCUUAGAUCAACCAACAUAUAUAAAUAACAUUUUACAACCCAUAGUAAACUUUACUGGGGUUAGUAAUGUUCCAAAGCAUCAGUAUUUUGUUGUUCUGCAGCCUAACACAUACUUUACUAGGGGUAGUAAUGUUUUCAGAACCUCAGUUUUUGUUGUUCUGCACCCUAGAACAUACUUUACUAGGGGUAGUAAAAUUUACAUGAAAGUUUCCAGAUGGUAUCCUCACAGUCAUUAUAGAGAUCAAAUGAAAGAAAAAUAAAUAUACAUAGCAAAAACUUAAGUUUACUACCCCUAGUGCAAACCAAUAUCUUGAUGAAAAUAUAAGUUUUAUUGCCCCUAGUAAACUUACCACAAUCUCCAUGUUCAUGAAUCCAACAAGAAGUUUGGCAGCUUCUGCCCUUUCCUUCAACAACCUCAUGUACACUUGCAGGCUCUGCGAUCAUAACAUAAGUCAAUAUUAUUAAAUCUAAACUUCACUGAGUGGUGCUAAUAAGGUGAUAUUAUUUAUUUUUUUAUUACUCACACUUGACAAUAUGUCUGAGUGUUCGAUGAUCCUUUUCAAGUCACUCUUUGAUAAACAGUGCCAGCCUUCAGGACAUGUCCAGUACGCUUCACUGUAGAAAAACAUUGAAUUCAUACUCCAAUUAAAACAAAUAUAUUUUUGUAAUUUUGCAUAAGCAAACUGUAAAGUUUUAUAUAAUUGAAACUUACUCUUCCUUUUUGUUCGGGCGGGCUUCAAACCAUUGUUUGUAGUGCAUUUUCAAAUCGUCGCCCAGUGAAUCCCAUGUACUGUUGUCACACUUCAGAUUCUUGAUUAUAAUUUUUUGUGGACUUGAAUGUCUUUUGGAGUACCG